rnacentral:rRNA from 1 species
GAUGAACGCUGGCGGCGUGCCUAAUACAUGCAAGUCGUGCGGCAGCGCGAAGAAUUUAUUCUUUGGCGGCGAGCGGCGGACGGCUGAGUAACGCGUGGGAACGUGCCCCAAAGUGAGGAAUAAGCCAAGGAAACUUGGUCUAAUGCCGCAUAUGCUCUUCGGAGUAAAGCUUCGGCGCUUUGGGAGCGGCCCGCGUCCGAUUAGAUUGUUGGUGAGGUAAAGGCUCACCAAGUCGACGAUCGGUAGCUGGUCUGAGAGGAUGACCAGCCAGACUGGAACUGAGACACGGUCCAGACUCCUACGGGAGGCAGCAGUAAGGAAUCUUCCACAAUGGGGGCAACCCUGAUGGAGCAACGCCGCGUGCAGGAUGAAGGCCUUCGGGUCGUAAACUGCUUUUAUGAGUGAAGAAUAUGACGGUAACUCAUGAAUAAGGGUCGGCUAACUACGUGCCAGCAGCCGCGGUCAUACGUAGGACCCAAGCGUUAUCCGGAGUGACUGGGCGUAAAGAGUUGCGUAGGUGGUUAGUAAAGUGAAUAGUGAAAUCUGGCGGCUCAACCGUACAGGCUAUUAUUCAAACUCACUAACUCGAGAAUGGUAGAGGUAACUGGAAUUUCUAGUGUAGGAGUGAAAUCCGUAGAUAUUAGAAGGAACACCAAUGGCGUAGGCAGGUUACUGGACCAUUUCUGACACUGAGGCACGAAAGCGUGGGGAGCGAACCGGAUUAGAUACCCGGGUAGUCCACGCCGUAAACGAUGGAUACUAGCUGUUGGAGGUAUCGACCCCUUCAGUAGCGAAGCUAACGCGUUAAGUAUCCCGCCUGUGGAGUACGGUCGCAAGACUAAAACAUAAAGGAAUUGACGGGGACCCGCACAAGCGGUGGAUCGUGUUCUUUAAUUCGAUGAUAAACGAAGAACCUUACCAGGGUUUGACAUCCCGAGAAUUUUGCCGAAAGGCGAGAGUGCUUUAUUGAGCUCGGUGACAGAUGAUGCAUGGCCGUCGUCAGCUCGUGUCGUGAGAUGUUAGGUUAAGUCCUUUAACGAGCGCAACCCUUGUGAAUAGUUGUAUUUUUCUAUUCAGACUGCCCCGGUAACGGGGAGGAAGGAGGGGAUGAGGUCAGGUCAGUAUUUCUCUUACAUCCUGGGCUAGAAACACGAUACAAUGGUUAGUACAAUGCGCAGCGAAGCCGCGAGGUGAAGCAAAUCGCAUCAAAGCUAAUCCCAGUUCGGAUAAGAGGCUGAAACUCGCCUCUUUGAAGUCGGAAUCGCUAGUAAUCGCAAGUCAGCAAAUUGCGGUGAAUACGUUCCCGGGUCU